rnacentral:tRNA from 1 species
GAGCCAUUAGCUCAGUUGGUAGAGCAUCUGACUUUUAAUCAGAGGUCAGAGUUCGAAUCCUCUAUGGCUCA